AACGCAUAUUGCGGUCGAGGCUUCGGCCGAGACCAUGUCUGCCUCAGCGUCGGUGUGAACCCUCAUCCUCUCCUAGGAGUUGGAUGGAACUGGUCUCCCCAUCGCUCCCGCGAUGGGUUGGCUGAAAUAUGAAGGCUAAAGCUUGGACCUGUAUGGCAACAGCAAGGUAGGUAGCUUGACUACUCCAGCUGAUGCUUUGGGUACUAGCAAAACGCCCGCAGGAAACAUUCACCCUUUUCGACCUGAGAUCAGGCAAGGCUACCCGCUGAACUUAA
rnacentral:misc_RNA from 1 species